rnacentral:tRNA from 1 species
GGGCUCAUAGGUAAGUGGUAUACCGGGUCGUUCGCAUCGACCAAUCGCCGGUUCGAUUCCGGCUGAGUCCACAA